UGCUUGAAUGUUUUAUAAGCAAGAAACUACUUGAUCAUUCUUCCAGGCAUCAGAUCAUCCCAGAUUCACAGCAUGGAUUUCAACCCCGACGUUCUUGUAUUACUCAAUUAACUUUCCUCUAUGACACCUGGUCUCGAGCUCUUGACAUUUCCAAUCCUCCUCGCAUUGAUGCAGCCUUUCUUGACUGGUCCAUAGCCUUUGACAAAUGCGACCAUUCAAUCCUUCAUAAACUACAUCAGUAUGGAAUCUGCAGUAACACACUUUCAUGGAUCAGUAAUUUCCUUUCCAAAAGAGAACAAUGAGUCAUCUUUUUAGGAGCCAAUUCUGACUGGACACCGGUAACUUCAGGAGUCCCCCAAGGCUCAGUCCUUGGUCCUAUAUUAUUUAAUUUCUUUACACUUGACUUAGCUAGCCAUGUAAAAUCUUUUCUUCCUCAAUAUGCUGAUGACACUGUUUUGUAUAGAAUAAUUAGAUGUGAAGAUGACAUUUCUAUUUUACAGAAUGACCUCAACGCUGUUUCCAAAUGGUGCUCUGAUAACCAAAUGAAACUUAACUCAACCAACUGCAAAGUUACGCAGGUAACCCGCUCCAGAAAGCAAAUACCAACCAGUUAUUUUCUUCCAGAUUCUAACCAACCUCUUGAUGUUGUCCCAUCCUACAAAUUCCUUGGUGUCAUCCUUUCUAAUGACCUAACCUGGACCAAACAUGUAAAUUUUGUUCGUGCCAAAUGUUCUCGAUGGCUUCAUACGAUGCACUGUAAAAUCCAAAAAUGCUAAAGUUCUAAUCAAAUGAUAUUGUUUUCUUUAUAGGCCCAUCUUAGAAUAUGCUGCACCGGUUUGGCUACCUUAUCAGAAAAACCACAUCCAAUGCCUUGAGACGAUCCAACGUCGCUUCACCAGAUCUUACUUUCCCUACAAUAUUGCUAUUUCUCUUUCCUAUGAACAACGUCUAUUCAAACUUCACUUGCCUCCCCUCUACAACAGACUUGUAUACCUCAGUGCUUUGUUUGUCCUUAAGUGUCUUUUCAACAACAUUUCUGUUUCCUCACAUUUUCUUCCGCAGGCCAACAGUAGAAAAACCGGUCCCCUUCUUUUCAAGCACCAGUACAGUCGAACAAAUUGUCUCAAAUUUUCUUUGUACAUGUAUGCCCUCUUUCCCAGAUUGUUCAAUUCUCUUCCCUCCGAAGUCCGAGAACUCUGCCUUGAACUUUCCCCUAAAUCCUUCAUCAAUUCUUUGGAAGCGGGCUCAAGAGAGACUGAAAUUCCAGUGAGGACCCAAGUGACAGCCACUCUGACAGUGAUGAGGAGCAAGAACAGUGGAUGGAGAAAACAGCAGGUGUUAAAUGUGAUAGCAGUGUGGUUGGUCCCCUGUCUGUGGGCUCGUCUUCUGUCAUCACUGGCCUGAUAGAAUUUGGGAAGGCCUCAUUGCUAGGUGAAGUACUGCCAUGGCUGCCUACAUGAACGUUAAGGCUGGCUAACGUCAUUGUGCGAGUGGACUGACCGAUGAAAUCCCCAAAGUGAAGAGGCAGGUUACGUCAUAAAGAACACAGACCUCCUCACAUGAAAGCUAUGGGUAUGCCCCAGGAGAAGCAGACCAUGAUGCUGAUAAGAAGAGCACCCUCGCCUCCUUCAACCUGGAGAGAAGAUGGAGGACAAGAUCCUAUGGGACUUCACAGAGACGAUUCAUGAGAAUGUUGAGGAGAGGAAGUAUAGACGCCAGUCUUCGCCUCCAUCACUGAGGAGGAACAGUUUCCAAGAUUGCAUGAGGGAUCCUCAUCAGAAUCUUAGGCAUUGAUUCACAAAAAGGCAAGGAAAGGACUCAAUUUUCUCAGACAUACAGUUCCAAGAAUCAUACAUAGUGAUUAAUAAUUCCAACAAAUGGCAUUCACAUCGCAAAAAAUGAGCGUCAUUUAAUUUGGCUAUUUUCUGGCAUCAAAACAAGAAACUUCCCCUACAGAGUACUGAAGUCACAAGACAUUGAAAACAAAUUUUGGUCAACACCUUAUCAAGGUCCUUUACGGCCCUGAAAAUGAUGUAUAAAACAUUAAGUUUUAACCAAGUAAUGUGAGGGCACCGUUUAUGAGUUAGAAUGAUAUUGCGGUAAUGUGAACGCACGGUCACGGAGUUAGAAUUAUAUUGCGGUAAUGUAAAACUGCUAUUUAUGAGUUAGAAUGAUAUCGAAGUAAUGUGAGGGCACUGCUCAUGAGUAUAUUCUGGUAACUAAAGUGAGGGCAGUAUUUGUGAUUCUGAAUCACAGAAAUGAAGCUCUUUGAAGAUGUGUUUACAUGUAUCUCAGCAUGAAAAAAUAACAUGUAACUGUUGAGACCCUUUUAUUCAGUAAAAUAAUGCAAUGUCUGACAUGUAUCUGUUGGCAAAUAUUCCCCCAAAUCACAUAUAAUUACAAUGUAUCUGUGAAAAUGAUGAUUGAUACAAAAAAAUCAAAUUUGUGGUUGUCAGGACAUUAAACAGUUUUCCAAAACCUAAACACAAAAUGCUAAGA